rnacentral:lncRNA from 1 species
UGAAAUAUCAUUGUGACUUUUUAUUUUUUUGAAGAUUCCAUCUAUUUAUUCAUGAGAGACACAGAGAGAGAGGCAGAUACACAGGCAGAGGCAGAGGGAGAAGCAGGCUCCAUGCAGGGAUCCCGAUGUGGGACUCGAUCCCGGAUCCCCAGGAUCACACCCCGGGCUGAAGGCAGGUGCUAAACCGCUGAGCCACCCAAGGAUCCCCAUGUUUCCAAGAUCAUUCUUGUUGGUGGUAGAAAUCAGUGUCUUCAAAUGGCUAUUAGAACCAAGAAGAGCACUCUCGGCUCCAAGAGACUGUCCACAUUCCUGGCCACACGGGCCCCUCCAUCUUCAAGCCAGCAGUGGCAUGUUGAGCCUCAUUCUUUGAAUUGGUGACUUUUCUGUCUGUGAUGUAAGGAUCCAGCUUCACGGGGCUCAUGUGAUUCGGUGAGGCCCACCGGGAUAAUCUCCAUCUCCUCAGGUCAACUGAUUUGGGACCUUAAUUCCUUCUGCAUAAUCUUUUCUUAGUGGUACCUAGAUUAGUGUUUGUGUAACUGGGAAAGAUUGUACGGAUGGCAGGAGCUGGGAAUCUCAGGUGGGGUGGGGAAGGGAGAGUGUUUUAGAACUCUGCUUCUCAUAAUGCUUUUGACACGAAUGCUAGGAUAUGUCUUUUGCUGAGACGGCUUCAAAAUGUUUUAAUGCACCAGCCAUGCACAAAGUUCCAGCUUUAUGGCUAACACUGGCUAACAACUGUUAAAGUAUGAUAGCAUUCUGCAAAUUCAUUGACACUGUUCAUGCUGACUCUUGUCGCUGAUCAUUGAAUUGAAGGCUCCUGUUGGUUUCAGGAGCUCCUAGCAUGUGGACCAGGACCUUGCUGAACCUUGACAAAGUGUUAAAUUGUACUUUUAUGUCCUCGUUUGAUUCCGUGGCUCUUUUGAAAGGAAUACCCUUCUGAUGUGCCCAAUAAAAUCCUCUUUGAUGUGCCAAAUAUGGACAAUUGAACUUUUAAGGAAUUUGAAGCACAGAAAGGAGCCCCACAGAUCCCACAGCCGGUCCUGCCUGUGCGAACCUUGGACUUCAGCUCUUACACACAAAGUACCCCGGCAAGUGACUUCAUUUCUCUGUCAGUCUUCUUGGUUUCUUAGGUGAGUCCAGUGGCAUCGUGCUGGGAAAUCAGUAGGCACAGUGCCUGGCAGGCAUGCGGCAGGCACUCAACAGGUGCCUGUGAGGGUUAUUAGGGCUUCUCGCCUUCUCUCCUCCCUCGAGCUGGUUCCCUCUGGCUCAUCUGGGUCAAAGGGAACACGAGUCAUUCAAAAGUGUGACUUGCUCACUGUUGGCUCCUCCCACUUCCACUCCCCACAUCCAUCAGCUCCUUUUUAUUCUGUAUUUGAAAUGUUUAUUAAAUCUUUCUUCUCCUUACCUCUCUGCUGCCACUGUGCAGAUUCCACUUACACAGG